rnacentral:rRNA from 1 species
UACGUAGGGGGCAAGCGUUGUCCGGAUUUAUUGGGCGUAAAGAGCGUGUAGGCGGUUUGGUAGGUCCGCUGUGAAAACUCGAGGCUCAACCUCGAGACGCCGGUGGAAACCAUCAGACUAGAGUCCGGAAGAGGAGAGUGGAAUUCCUGGUGUAGCGGUGAAAUGACGCAGAUAUCAGGAGGAACACCGGUGGCGAAGGCGGCUACCUGGACCGGUUCUGACGCUGAGGCGCGAAAGCGUGGGGAGCAAACAGG